AGGUGAGGUAGAGGAGCGGGACGUCAAGAGUACUGCCGGGAGAUCAGGGAAUUCGAUGAACCGGUUGGAAAGGGGCGCCCGCCGAAGUCUUAAAGCCCACCCGGGGCUUUUGGGCUGGGCCUGCAUCAAACAGGUGCAGGACUGUCACCAGAGGAGAUCCUGGUCCUCUGGUGGAGCACUAUCUCACGA
rnacentral:ncRNA from 2 species